GACGAACGCUGGCGGCGUGCUUAACACAUGCAAGUCGAACGGAAAGGCCCUGCUUUUGUGGGGUGCUCGAGUGGCGAACGGGUGAGUAACACGUGAGUAACCUGCCCUUGACUUUGGGAUAACUUCAGGAAACUGGGGCUAAUACCGGAUAGGAGCUCCUGCUGCAUGGUGGGGGUUGGAAAGUUUCGGCGGUUGGGGAUGGACUCGCGGCUUAUCAGCUUGUUGGUGGGGUAGUGGCUUACCAAGGCUUUGACGGGUAGCCGGCCUGAGAGGGUGACCGGCCACAUUGGGACUGAGAUACGGCCCAGACUCCUACGGGAGGCAGCAGUGGGGAAUAUUGCACAAUGGGCGGAAGCCUGAUGCAGCAACGCCGCGUGCGGGAUGACGGCCUUCGGGUUGUAAACCGCUUUCGCCUGUGACGAAGCGUGAGUGACGGUAAUGGGUAAAGAAGCACCGGCUAACUACGUGCCAGCAGCCGCGGUGAUACGUAGGGUGCGAGCGUUGUCCGGAUUUAUUGGGCGUAAAGGGCUCGUAGGUGGUUGAUCGCGUCGGAAGUGUAAUCUUGGGGCUUAACCCUGAGCGUGCUUUCGAUACGGGUUGACUUGAGGAAGGUAGGGGAGAAUGAAAUUCCUGGUGGAGCGGUGGAAUGCGCAGAUAUCAGGAGGAACACCAGUGGCGAAGGCGGUUCCCUGGGCCUUUCCUGACGCUGAGGAGCGAAAGCGUGGGGAGCGAACAGGCUUAGAUACCCUGGUAGUCCACGCUGUAAACGGUGGGUACUAGGUGUGGGGUCCAUUCCACGGGUUCCGUGCCGUAGCUAACGCUUUAAGUACCCCGCCUGGGGAGUACGGCCGCAAGGCUAAAACUCAAAGGAAUUGACGGGGCCCCGCACAAGCGGCGGAGCAUGCGGAUUAAUUCGAUGCAACGCGUAGAACCUUACCUGGGUUUGACAUGGAUCGGGAGCGCUCAGAGAUGGGUGUGCCUCUUUUGGGGUCGGUUCACAGGUGGUGCAUGGCUGUCGUCAGCUCGUGUCGUGAGAUGUUGGGUUAAGUCCCGCAACGAGCGCAACCCUUGUUCACUGUUGCCAGCACGUUAUGGUGGGGACUCAGUGGAGACCGCCGGGGCCAACUCGGAGGAAGGUGGGGAUGACGUCAAGUCAUCAUGCCCCUUAUGUCCAGGGCUUCACGCAUGCUACAAUGGCUGGUACAGAGAGUGGCGAGCCUGUGAGGGUGAGCGAAUCUCGGAAAGCCGGUCUCAGUUCGGAUUGGGGCCUGCAACUCGACCUCAUGAAGUCGGAGUCGCUAGUAAUCGCAGAUCAGCAACGCUGCGGUGAAUACGUUCCCGGG
rnacentral:rRNA from 1 species